CUUUUCUCUCAUGAGAAUGGAGUGAAGAGAUUCUGUCCAAGAUGGCCGAAUAGGAACAGCUCCAGUCUACAUCUCCCAGCGUGAGCGACGCAGAAGAUGGGUGAUUUCUGCAUUUCCAACUGAGGUACCGGGUUCAUCUCACUGGGGCUCGUUAGACAGUGGGCACAGGACAGUGGGUGCAGCCCACCGACCAUGAGCUGAAGCAGGGCGAGUCAUCGCCUCACCGGGGAAGCACAAGGGGUCAGAGAAUUCCCUGUACAUGAAAGUUACCUCCACCAAUACAACACAACUAUUUUACUCAAAAUAUUCAUGGUUUUCUAAAUGAUCAGAGGUUUCAAAAACUGUAUUUGUGAAUAUAUCUAUUAGCGGUAUAUUAAAAAGGAUCAUGACCAAUGCUAGAUAGACAUUGGAAAGUUUGUUAUCCAAUGAAGUAAAUUGUUCUUAGAGUUAUAAGUAAAACCUACCACCAGAAAAGCUAAAUAAAAUGAGAAUAAAUGAGAAGUUUUAAAUCUAGAAUAAAGAGAAUAGUUGUUUUUAAAUAGUUUUGACCUUAGCGGAAAACACAUGGAGUAAAUAUUGUCCAGACCUAAUAAUUAUUCAGCAAAAAUGUAAAUGCAAUCUAAAGACCUAGAUGUAACAUUGUGUUCUUUUAUCAUCCAUAUGUUUUUCAAGAAACAUAUUACAUAUUGAAAAGCAUGGUCAGGUAGGCAGAGUUUGGCAAAAUGCAAAUAGGAAAGAAACAUGCUACUUCAAGUAAUAACAAGUUCUUGCUAUUCUUAGAAGGAAUUCUUUCCAUGUAAGUUUUCUUUAGUUAUAUUGGGGAUUGCUGAUAUUAAAUACUGCCUAGUUUUCAUGAAUAUACUACAUCAGGAUGGGCUGCCCUUUAAAACGUUGCAGAAGUUGAAUAUGAAUGCCCAUCAGGUAUUCCUUGUGCAACAGUUAGUUUAGUUAAUGCAACAAUUUUUACCGCAAAUACAUUUAUAGCCCUGGCCUGCCAAUAUCAGUUUUGUCUCAAGAAUAUGUCAUUUUUUUUUACAGAAAAUACAAAUGCUACUGUAAAAUUUUUGCAGACCUUGACAAGAAAAGUUGUUAAAACUUUCAUGGUCUAACCUUCCACUUUUCUUGUGCUGUCACCUGAAAUCUUGUGGUAAUCAAGUCACAAAAAUGGUCCCCAUAAAAUUUUCAGAUGUGUGACAAUAUUGAGUAUAUAUCCAACAUAUCUUGUUAACUGAAUAACAAUGCAUCCUCCUAUUUUGAUAUUUUUUUCCUAUAAGAAUUUAGCUAACAUUACCCUCAAAGCUGUGUCUAAAAGUAAACAUUUCUUUCUAGAUGCCUUUUCAACAACUGAAAAAGAGCAAGCACUUUAACAACAGGCCCUUGCAGAAAAGAAAUCAUCUCAAUAUAAAUAAAGCUUGUGAAAUGUUCAAACUGCAGUACCUUUGUGACUUUAAGUCAUGGAGCUCCCUUCAAAUCUAUCACUUAAACUGCAGGUACAGAUGUAUUUUUUAAUUAUAGUUCAAUCAUUACACUGCCCAAUUUACCAGAUUAGAUGUUUGCAAAGACAUAUCCACCCCCCCCCCCCCA
rnacentral:lncRNA from 10 species